AUGGUGGUUGUGCUUUCUGCUGUGUUGCCUGGAUCAGCUGAUGAUGCAAAGCCUCCUCUCUAUGGAAAAGAUUUCUCUGCUCUCAACACACUGAAAACAAUAGUGUGGGAGGUUUUUGUACGGCCACUUAAAGAGUUUGUAUCACUGUGGAGGACUUUUGGUGGAGGAACCAAACUCAUCAUUCACUCUGGCCCCAUGGUCAGACCCUCAGUCUCUCUGCUUCAACCCUCCUCUGAGCAGCUCUCUGGAGGCCCAGUCACACUGGCCUGCCUGCUGACCGGCUACUCUCCUCAGGGAGCUGAAGUGAGAUGGGAAGUAGAUGGCACAGAUGUGACAGAGGGGGUCCUGAACAGCUUAGAAGAAGAGAAGAGUAGUCGCUACAGCAGCAGCAGCACCCUGAUGCUGAGCCAAGAGAACUGGAUGAACGCAGAGGUGUUCUCCUGCAGGGGGAACCAUCAUGACCACCGGCAGGCCAAGUCCUUCCUCAAGAACCGGUGUGAGGGCUAG